rnacentral:misc_RNA from 1 species
ACAAACUUGGUCAUUUAGAGGAAGUAAAAGUCGUAACAAGGUCUCCGUAGGUGAACCUGCGGAGGGAUCAUUAACGAGUUAGGGCCUCUGGCCCGAUCUCCAACCCUUUGUUUUCAAUACCUCGUUGCCUCGGGGGCGGGCCCCUCGCCGUGACCGCGGCGGGUCACCCCCGAGGACCACUACAACUCUGCAUUUUGAAUGUCGUCUGAGUAAGGUUUUUAAAUGAAAUCAAAACUUUCAACAACGGAUCUCUUGGUUCUGGCAUCGAUGAAGAACGCAGC